GGUCCGGACAGAGCAAAAAAAACAAGGCAUCAGUAUUGUUGAGUAUUAGCCUGUACCUGGUUCCCAGACUAAGUUUGUCGCAGGAGGCCGGGGCACGUCGGCUGGCGCCGCUUGGCAGCGCACCGCGAGCCGGAGCCGGGACCCAGACAAAGGCGGGAGCUGUCCGCGGUGCUGAACCUGCUGUUCCGCGGUGGAGGCAAAAUGCCUGGGUUACCAGCGCUUUCCUCGUCUACUGCUUCCUUCGCUGCUUCGUUCUCUGCCUCUCGCCUUCCCCAAGUGCUUAUUCCACCCGUUUGCUCCCUCCUUGGCACCUGCCUCCGGUACACAGGUAUACUUAAAUCUCAGAGAACAAAACGAGCCAUCAACACAGUGUCUUCUUUCUUCUCAAAUAAACGCUGUAUGAAAGGUUUCUCUUAACUGUCCUCAAAAACAGAUUCCAAUUUUCAUGCCUAAAGAAGUGGAAAUUCGUGUUUAAAACAGAACUAAGUGGUAACGAAUGCCAUGCACUUGAAUUUUUAAUUUUUUUUCCCUGUAAGACAGGGCAAGGGGAUUGGAAAUUUUAGUUUGGGGAACUUCAUGUCCCUGGCAUCUUGACUUCUUGGGUAGAAAAGUAAUAAGAUGUGGGGAGGAUCUGUUGUCUAACAUGAGGGUGAACAGAAGUGAAGAAAGGUGACUUGUGAGGUUCAAAGUGAGGGACAUUAAGCGAACUUAACCCUUUGAGGCAGAGAAGAGGCCUACAAGGAAAGCAGUCUUCCAGGUUAAGAGGAAAGUGAUUUCUUUUGAAAGUUUGGGUCCAAAACUUGAAUCUGGUACUUCAUUUUCUGCAUGUCCAUGGUGUCCUCGGAUGUCUGAUGUCACAGCCUUCAUUCCUGUGACCCGAUUUUUCUGGGUCGCUUGACUAUGUAAGUUUGUGCAGGGGGGGAAGGAAGCAGCACCACGUACUCCCUCCCCAGAGGCGGGGGCCUCCCGUUCCAUCGAUUCAGGUCUGAGCACAUUCCCUCUGGCAUCUCAGAGCCACUGCCUCCUUCACAGCCUGGAUGCUCUGGGGCCACUGCUUCCUGUGGUCUUCUCGGCACCCUGCAAGUCUUCCCCAGGGCAGGGGUAUCAGCUAAGUCCAGUCUUCAGUGUUGCAGGAGGUCUUGUGAAUUAAGAGUUGUGCAGUCUCUCUGGCUCCCCUGCUGGGGCGAGCUCCUUUGCCCAUGAGGCAGGAAUAACCAGGAUUAUUCUCGAGCCAGAAGGAUUUGUAACAAUGAGGGGCUUCUGACUGUGACCCUUUGGUUCUUCCAGACCCUGAGUGUUACUCCUUCAUUCAAACACCCCCAGAUUUUUAAUUGCAGCCAAAGUGCUUGUGCCUGGACCCUGCACCUUUCACCUUCUCAGGAUGUAAACGCUCAUGGUGCCAGGAGAGAAGAGAAGCUUUGACCUUGGGUGAGUGAAAGAGAAUUGGAGAAGAACGUUGUUUACUGAAUGGUGACCAGGAGGUGCCUUGGAUCCCUUAUCUUCACCACAGCUCUGAGAAGUAGUAAGUAUUUGUGAUGCCCAUUUUACCAUUUUACAGAAAGGGAGCAGAGACUCAGAGACACUCAGGGUGUGGCUGGCGGUGACACAGUGAAGGCCUGUGAUUCUGAACCAGGCCUCAUUGGCGUUCACACGAGGCACAUGAGGGUUACAAAGCUGUUUCUUUAGUCCCUUUGGAUUCCCAAGCCACCAAGACCUGUGGCCUGGACUUGGAAGUUGCUUUUAAGUCAUCACUGUGAAAGAAAGAAUGAUGAAUGCCAAGAACAGAGGGCUCUUCCUUCAUGGGUUGGGUGGGCGUUUUACAGAAUGGAGUAAGUUUGUGUGAACAAUCUCUUAGGCCCACACCAAGGAGUCAUCAUUGAUCCCCCUUCCUCCUGCCUUGCGUCCAAAUCCAACAGCAAUCCCAGGUAGCUCUGCUUCCAAAAUAUAUUCCAGCCCAUCUGCCUCUCAUCUUCUUCUCCAUUAUCGCCCUGGUCCAAGCCACCACCAUCUCAUCUGUUUUAUUGCAGUGGUCUCCUGACCAGACUCCCUGCUUCUUCUAUCUUGCCCUUGUCUGCAAUCUCUUCUCCACACUGUAACUAAAAGUUAUAUUUGAGAAUCAUAAAUCAGAUCUUGUCAUUCUGCCUCCAACCCUCCAACAACUUCUCAUUGCACUUAGAAUCACAGCCAGACUCCUCAUCCUGGUAGGCAGGGCCCUCUGAGGAUGGCUCCUGCCUGCCCCUCCUGUCUGUCUCUGCACCCUGCUGUGCCUCAGGCAGAUCUAGAUCCUCUCACUCUCAACACCUUUGCGGUGGGCUUGUGGUUUGCCCCUCGGCUCUCAGAGCCUCACCAAGUUUGGCUCCCUUUUGUCAUUCAGCUCAAAUAUCAACUCCUCAAAGAAGUCUUUCCUGUCCACCUUAUCUAAAACACUUCACCCUAGUCACUCUCUAUGUAUAUUUUAAAGCCCUUAUCAAUAUCUAGUAUUAUCCUAUUUGUAUGUCUAGGUACCCAUUGUCUGUCUUCCUUAAUAAAAUAUCUGUUACACAAGGGCGGA